rnacentral:tRNA from 1 species
GUCUUGGUGGCUCAGUUGGCUAGAGCGUUGGUCUCAUAACAUGAAGCACUCCCAGAGUGAGCUAUCCAAAGGUCGUGAGUUCGAGCCUCACCCAGGACA